AGUGAACGCUGGCGGUAGGCCUAACACAUGCAAGUCGAACGGCAGCACAGUAGAGCUUGCUCUUACGGGUGGCGAGUGGCGGACGGGUGAGGAAUACAUCGGAAUCUUCUUUUUCGUGGGGGAUAACGUAGGGAAACUUACGCUAAUACCGCAUACGACCUACGGGUGAAAGCAGGGGAUCUUCGGACCUUGCGCGAUUGAAUGAGCCGAUGUCGGAUUAGCUAGUUGGCGGGGUAAAGGCCCACCAAGGCGACGAUCCGUAGCUGGUCUGAGAGGAUGAUCAGCCACACUGGAACUGAGACACGGUCCAGACUCCUACGGGAGGCAGCAGUGGGGAAUAUUGGACAAUGGGCGCAAGCCUGAUCCAGCCAUACCGCGUGGGUGAAGAAGGCCUUCGGGUUGUAAAGCCCUUUUGUUGGGAAAGAAAAGCAGCAGGUUAAUACCCCGCUGUUCUGACGGUACCCAAAGAAUAAGCACCGGCUAACUUCGUG
rnacentral:rRNA from 1 species